GGAGUGCCGCAGUGAACCAGAACACAGGUGCUGCAUGGCUGUCGUCAGCUCGUGUCGUGAGAUGUUGGGUUAAGUCCCGCAACGAGCGCAACCCUUGUCCUUAGUUGCCAUCAUUAAGUUGGGAACUCUAAGGAGACCGCCGGUGACAAACCGGAGGAAGGUGGGGAUGACGUCAAGUCAUCAUGGCCUUUAUGGCCAGGGCUACACACGUGCUACAAUGGCAGGUACAGAGGGAAGCCAACUCGCGAGAGGGAGCUAAUCCCAGAAAGCCUGUCUUAGUCCGGAUUGGAGUCUGCAACUCGACUCCAUGAAGUUGGAAUCGCUAGUAAUCGCAGAUCAGCAUUGCUGCGGUGAAUACGUUCCCGGGUCUUGUACACACCGCCCGUCACACCAUGGGAGUUGAUUGCACCAGAAGCAGGUAGCCUGACCGCAAG
rnacentral:rRNA from 1 species